CGUAAACAAAGGGAAGCGAGACGGUGACGUUAAGCAAAUCCCAGAAAUAACGUCCCAGUUCGGAUUGUAGUCUGCAACCCGACUACAUGAAGCUGGAAUCGCUAGUAAUCGCGAAUCAGAAUGUCGCGGUGAAUACGUUCCCGGGUCUUGUACACACCGCCCGUCACACCAUGGGAGUCGGAAAUGCCCGAAGUCAGUGACCCAACCGUAAGGAGGGAGCUGCCGAAGGCAGGUCCGGUGACUGGGGUGAAGUCGUAACAAGGUAUC
rnacentral:rRNA from 1 species